rnacentral:rRNA from 1 species
UACGAAGGGUGCAAGCGUUACUCGGAAUUACUGGGCGUAAAGCGUGCGUAGGUGGUUUGUUAAGUCUGUUGUGAAAGCCCCGGGCUCAACCUGGGAAUGGCAAUGGAUACUGGCAAGCUAGAGUGCGGUAGAGGGUAGUGGAAUUCCCGGUGUAGCGGUGAAAUGCGUAGAGAUCGGGAGGAACACCAGUGGCGAAGGCGGCUCACUGGAUCGGUACUGACGCUGAGGUGCGAAAGCGUGGGGAGCAACAGG